GGAUUGGGUUUGAAAGUCUGUCACGAAUAACUGCGCUUCUAUUGCCAUUUGGACAUUGUGCGUCCAGGAGGAGAGUUCUAUAGCCCAUUUCUUCCGUAGAGAUGUCCGGAUUUUUUUUGAACGUUUGCCAACUUGGUUUUUUUACCUACCUUGUGCUUUUUUCUUACAUUUCUGUAACCACUUCAGUGAGUUUUGAUUUAACCGAACUUGGAAAUAAAGUUGCGAAAAUUAAAGUUAAUCAAAGAGGGAAUCUUUGGGCUACAGGUCAUUUUAUGGGGAAGAAGAGUGUCAUGGAUAGCCCUCUGCUCCAGUCUCCGGAUGGACAGUCUGUGGAUGCGUUCGAGGUCGCCUUGAGUCCGGAGCAGAACGGGAUGGGAAAUCUCUUCCAAGAUGUGCUGAGGGUCGCGUUGCAAGCCCAACUCAGAGAUGACACAGAGAACCGCUCCGAAAACCAGGAGACUGGAUUGUUGAUGAAGAUAUUAGAGAGCUACAUUCAAAACAACAGAAAGUGAUGCAGUCUACCAUAAUGUUCCUUAAGAUGAAGUCAUCCAGUCUAUGUCUAUAAAGGUUUUGGUCAAUAUGGAAUCAAAUCUCAUAUGCUUUAACAUGAUUGUAACAUGUCUGUUCAGUUUAUAGUUGACCAAAAUGCUAUUUGCAAUGUCACCGGAUCUGAAAGGAAGGGUGAAUCAAAUGUAGAUGUGUAUUUAUCGUUUUGAGGAUGUGCUGCGUUGUAUUGUUGAUAUUAAAUUAUUUAUAUUCAAUAAAAACAAAUAUU